rnacentral:rRNA from 1 species
AUUCACAACAACCAGCGCCAGGAAAUUACGAGCAAUGCUUAAAACCCAAAGGACUUGACGGUGUUCCAACCCCCUAGAGGAGCCUGUUUUGUAAUCGAUGAUCCCCGCUAUACCCCACCAUUUCUAGCUCUUCAGUCUGUAUACCUCCGUCCUAAGCUUGCCAUAUGAACGUUCUUUAGCAGGCCCAAUGAACCCCCCCCCCAAUAUGUCAGGUCAAGGUGCAGCUCACGAAAUGGUAGCUAAUGGGCUACAAUUUCUAACCUAGAAUAUACGGAAUACUAUGUGAAAUCAUAGUCAUGAAGGCGGAUUUAGCAGUAAAAAGAAAAUAGAGAGUUCUUUUUAACUCGGUCCUGGAACGUGUACAAACCGCCCGUCACCCUCUUCGAUAAAAUUUCUUCCGUCUUUAACCCACUAUAAAACUUUAGAAGAGGCAAGUCGUAACAUGGUAAGUGUACUGCAAAGUGCACUUGGACUAUUACACAAUGUAGCUUAACCAAAGCCACUUGCUUACACCAAGUAAAUGUCCGUUCAACCCAGACCAUUUUGAGCCAAAAAUUUAGCCCACACAACACUGAUACUCUCUUAACCCACCCACCCUCAGACAAAACAUUCUUCUAUUUUAGUACAGGAGAUCAAAAAAUUACUAAGCGCUUCAAACACAGUACCGAAAGGGAAAAAUGAAAUAAAAAUGAAAUAAACCUCAAGCCCAAAAUAGCAGAGAUU